AGAUUAAGUUAUUAAGGGCGCACGGUGGAUGCCUUGGCACUAGAAGCCGAUGAAGGACGUUACUAACGACGAUAUGCUUUGGGGAGCUGUAAGUAAGCUUUGAUCCAGAGAUUUCCGAAUGGGGAAACCCAGCAUGAGUUAUGUCAUGUUAUCGAUAUGUGAAUACAUAGCAUAUCAGAAGGCACACCCGGAGAACUGAAACAUCUUAGUACCCGGAGGAAGAGAAAGAAAAUUCGAUUCCCUUAGUAGCGGCGAGCGAAACGGGAAGAGCCCAAACCAACAAGCUUGCUUGUUGGGGUUGUAGGACACUCUAUACGGAGUUACAAAGGACGACAUUAGACGAAUCAUCUGGAAAG
rnacentral:rRNA from 1 species